GCCGGCCUACAAGGUUGGUGAUGGUGGUAACCGAUUUUUGAACCAACACCGAAUGAACGGGAGCCUGACUCGAAAAUACGAUCCGGUGUGCAAUGUUCCGCCAUGCGGAAAUGCCUAAUGGGUCUCGGCGGGUUCCCACCGUUUAACGACGGGUUCAUUCUCGGCCCUCCACACGGCUUAGUGGGUCGGCU
rnacentral:sRNA from 1 species